rnacentral:rRNA from 1 species
AUUGAACGCUGGCGGCAGGCCUAACACAUGCAAGUCGAACGAGUGGCGGACGGGUGAGUAAUGUCUGGGAAACUGCCUGAUGGAGGGGGAUAACUACUGGAAACGGUAGCUAAUACCGCAUACCAUCGGAUGUGCCCCGAUGGGAUUAGCUAGUAGGUGGGGGAAAGGCUCACCUAGGCGACGAUCCCUAGCUGGUCUGAGAGGAGGACCAGCCAAACUGGAACUGAGAAAAGGUCCAGACGCCGACGGGAGGAAGCAGUGGGGAAUAUUGCACAAUGGGCGAAAGCCUGAUGCAGCAAUGCCGAGUGUAUGAAGAAGGCCUGCGGGUUGGAAAGUACUGGCAGCGGGGAGGCGUUACCCGCAGAAGAAGCACCGGCUAACUCCGUGCCAGCAGCCGCGGUAAUAC